AGUGGGGACUACAAGUGCAUGCCACCAUGCCCAGCUAAUUUUUUUUUUUUUUUUUUGUAUUUUUGUAGAGAUGGCGUUUCACCGUAUUAGCCAGGAUAGUCUUGAUCUCCUGACCUCAUUAUCCACCUGCCUCGGCCUCCCAAAGUGCUGGGAUUACAGGUGUGAGCCACCGCACCCGGCCUCCCUUACAUAUUCUAACUGAACCUGCCCUUACCACAAAGGCACCACUUACUCUGAAGCCAUUGCCUGCUACAUGUUGCAGAAUGUUGGAUUCCACAAAUAACAACACAACCUGUUUCUAAGAGAAAGCUGACCAAGGCCUCUGAGCAGAAGCUAAGCCAUCAUAACCCCUGUGACCUGCAUGUAUACAUCCAGACGGCCUGGAGCAAUGGAAGAACAACAAAAGAUGACAUUCCAUCAUUUGAUUUGUUCCUGCCCCACCCCAACUAAUCAAUCGACCUUGUGACAUUCCUCCCCUGGACAAUGAGUCCCAUGAUCUCCCCACCCUGCACCUUGUGACCCCUGCCCCUGCCCGCAAGAGAUAACCAACUUUAACUGUAAUUUUCCAUUACCUACCCAAAUCCUAUAAAACUGCCCCACUCCUAUCUCCCUUUGCUGAAUCCUUUCUCCGACUCAGCCCACUUGCACCCAAGUGAAUAAACAGCCUUGUUGCUCACACGAAGCCUGUUGGUGGACUCUCUUCACAUGGAUGUGCGUGACACCCUCUACCCUCCAAUAGGCCCCAAUGUGUGUUAUUCCCCUCUAUGUGUCCAUGUGUUCUUAUUAUUUAGCUCCCACUUACAAGUGAGAGCAUGCAGUAUUUGGUUUUCUGUUUCUGCAUCAGUUUGCUAAGGAUAAUGGCCUCCAGCUCCAUCCAUGUUCCCGAAAUGAUCUUGUUCUUUUUAAUGCCUGUAUAGUAUUCCACAGUGUAUAUGUACAAAAUUUUAUUUAUCCAGUCUACCACUGAUGGACAUUUAGGUUGAUUCCAUGUCUUUGCUAUUGUGAAUAGUGCUGCAAUGAACAUACAUGUACAUGUGUCUGGGAAGGAGGGAAGGAAGGACGGAAGGAGGGAAGGAAGGAAGGAAGGAAGGAAGGAAGGAAGGAAGGAAGGAAGGAAGGACAAGUGUUGGCAGUAAAUAUGUAGAGAAAUGAGAAUACUUAUACAUUGUAGGAAUAUAAAAUAAUUCAGCUGCUAUGAAAAAGAGUUUGGGAGCACCUCAAAACAUAAACAUAGAAUUAUCAUAUGAUCUUCUAAUUCUAUUUCUGGAGGUACACCCUCCAGUGUUGAAAAACUAGUACUCAAACAAGUCAGUGUACAUAAACAUUAAUAGCAGGACUAUUCACAAUAGCCAAGGUGGAAAUAACCAAAUGUUCACAAACAGAUAAAUAGAUAUCAAAUUAUGGUGUGUAUUUAUAUAUAUACACACACACACACACACACACACACACAUACACAAUGGAAUAUUACUGAGCCAUAUAAAAAUGGAGUAAAGCUAUAGUGUGAAUAUUGGUGUCUGAGGCCAUUUUAUGUUGCUUAUAAUACCUGAAUCUGGUUAAUUUAUAAAGAGAAGGAAUGUAUUUCCUACAAUUAUGGAGACUGAGAAGUUCAAGGUUAAGGAGGUGCACUUGGCGAGAGCCUUCUUGCUGAUGAGGACUCUCUGAAGAGUCCUGAAGCCUCACAGGGUAAGAUAGGGCAAGGAGGAUGCGCAUGCUACUCAGAUAUCUCUUGCUCUUACCAUAAAGCCACCAGUCCCUCCACCAAUGAUAGCCCAUUAAUUCUUUAACUCAUUAAUCCAUGAAUGGUAUCUGCCCUCAUGAUCCAAUCACCCAUUAAAGGUCCCAUCUUUCAACACUGCCACAUUGGGGAUUAAAUUUCAACAUGAAUUUUGGAGGGGACAGAUAUUCAAACCAUAGCAGUUGGUGCCCCCACCACUAUCUAAUUUACGUGUUAGAACCUAACACCCAAUGUGAUAAACCCAAUGUGAUAGCAUUGAGUUGGGGCCUCUGAGAAUAAGUAAGUCAUAAGGACUCUGCUUAGUGCCCUUAUAAAGGAAGCUUAAGUGAGCUGCCUUGCAAGUUCCAUCAUGCAAGAAUGCAGCAAGAAGCCUUCCUCUUUGAAGCACAGGCACAAGCCUCACCAGAUAUUGAAUUUGUUGGUGGCUUCAUCUUGGACUCCCCAAACUCAACAACUAUAAGCAAUAAAUUUCUGUUGUUUACAAAUUCUCUAGUCUAAGAUAUUUUGUUAGAGCAGCUAGAACAAACCAAGACAAGUACUGACACAAUAAUAAGGAUGAAUCUGAAAAAAAAAAAAAUUAUACCUAGUCAAAGAAGCCAGACACAAAAUGUCACAGAUUGUAUGAUUUCAUGUAUGAAAUAUCCAUAAUAGGUAAAUCCAGAGAGACAGACAGAAAGCAGAUUGGUAAUUGACAGAGGCUGGAGGAUGAGAGAAUGAGGAGUAACUGCUUGAUAGGUACAAAAUUUUCUUAGGGGAUAAUAUAUUUUGGAGCUUAAUAGAGGUGGGCAUAUAUAAGAUUGUAAGUGUACUGAAUGCCACUGAUUUUUUCACUUUAAAAUGGAUCUUAAAAUGGUUAAUCUUAUGUUACAUGAAUUUCACCUAAACUAAAACAAAAAAGUAAAAGCUACAAACUUCUUGCUGUCCUCAAAAACAAUGAUACCCAAUUUAUAUAUGAAAAUCUCCCAAUGACCAGAGGUGGUUUAUGUUACUUUGAAAUUGACAUAAACUGAAAGAUGUAAAUAUUAUUUGUAAAUUUCAGUGGCCCUGAAAAC
rnacentral:lncRNA from 1 species